UACGUAGGGGGCAAGCGUUGUCCGGAAUUAUUGGGCGUAAAGAGCGCGUAGGCGGUCCGAUAAGUCGGCUGUGAAAGUCAGGGGCUCAACCCUUGAAAGCCGGCCGAUACUGUCGGACUAGAGUCCGGAAGAGGCAAGUGGAAUUCCCGGUGUAGCGGUGAAAUGCGCAGAUAUCAGGAGGAACACCGAUGGCGAAGGCAGGUCUCUGGGCAUUAACUGACGCUGAGGAGCGAAAGCAUGGGGAGCGAACAGG
rnacentral:rRNA from 1 species